CAUAUUGGACAAUGGGCGAAAGCCUGAUCCAUCUAUGGCGCGUGUGUGAAGAAGGUCUUCGGAUUGUAAUUCACCUUAAGUUGGGAGGAAGGGUAGGAAGUUAAUACCGUGCUGUUUUGACGUUACCGACAGAAUAAGCACCGGCUAUUUUCGUGCCAGCAGGCGCGGUAAUACGAAGGGUGCAAGCGUUAAUCGGAAUUACUGGGCGUAAAGCGCGCGGAGGUGGUUCGUUAAGUUGGAUGUGAAAGCCCCGGGCUCAACCUGGGAACUGCAUCCAAAACUGGCGAGCUAGAGUACGGUAGAGGGUGGUGGAAGUUCCUGUGUAGCGGUGAAAUGCGUAGAUAUAGGAAGGAACACCAGUGGCGAAGGCGACCACCUGGACUGAUACUGACACUGAGGUGCGAAAGCGUGGGGAGCAAACAGG
rnacentral:rRNA from 1 species